GUUUCCUUGAGCUCCUGCGGUCUGCGUCCACGUAGAAGCGGAAGCCGAGGAUCCGCUGCUUAAUGGACUGCAGUGGGAAAACCACCCACAGCUCUGCCUGAUGGGCUUCAACUGCUGCUGCUUGGGAAGAGAAGAAAACAAACCACUUUCUUCAUCAAGAUAAGGUUUUUAGAGCCUGCAUCCCAUUCUCAGGCCAGUUUGGGCUGGAAUUCUCCAUGUAGCCCAGGGUGGCCUCAAACUUAAAGCAAUCCUCCUGCCGUAGCCUCCUGAGUGCCAGGAUUACUACUAGCACAUGACACUAGGACCAGCUUCUUUUAAAGAAGCUUCCUCAUUUUCUUAGACCUACCUGGGAGAAACACCAGCUUUCCCCCCUUUAAUCACAGCAGUGAUCUAGGGAACAGCUGUGCAUCUGUGGGAGUGGGUCUUCAGGACAGUGACUUUCUGAGGCUCUGCUGCUCAGCGGUGGCUACCCCAGAGCACAAGAAUGCCCUUACUUAUUAUGUGUGUGUGAGAGAAACGCAUCCACAGUGCUUGUGUGAAGAGCAGAGAGAAUGCUGGCCCGACCACAGACCUGCUCUCAGCGCUGUCUUCCUAGUGACACUUGACGCUGGAGCAGCUGCACUCGAAGGCGAAGAAGUACAAAGCUCUGGCCCUUCUCUACCUACCUCCCUACAAGUCUGAGCCCUCCACAAGUUCUUUCCAGAAGUCAAAUUCCCCCUGGUUCCCAUCAAAGUCCUUAUGCUCAUCCUCCAAUGCUACCUGGCCUCACCAGGGCUAAUCCUAUGGGCAUUCUGCACGAGGCACUGUGUGCCGCUGAGGCUUUCCAGCCAAGGCCUGCUCUAUCACCUCACCCAGGAGCCACUGGCUUGGCACCCUUGAAGCUAGAACCAGUUCCAGCCGGCAGUGAGAUCAGCGAGAACUGAACAAAAUGCAGCUUGUCUGCAAUUAUACUACCAGCAACACACGUACAGCCACUUUCUUUCACAGACCGUUUCUGUUCUGAUGUCGACACUGGGUAAAACAUAGGGUUCUAAAUAGCCUUUGCUAAUAUUUCCAUAAAAGCCAGACUUACU
ensembl:antisense 9630013K17Rik RIKEN cDNA 9630013K17 gene